AGCGACAUGUCCUCACAUACGUGGAGGAUGCAGUCUGCCAGCUGCUAGAGAACAAGGAAGAUAUUAGCCAAUAUGGCAUUGCCAGAUUCUUCACAGAAUAUUUUAACAGUGUAUGUCAGGGAACUCAUAUUCUUUUCCGGGAGUUCAGCUUCAUCCAAGCCACCCCUCACAACAGGGCAUCAUUCCUACGGGCCUUCUGGAGAUGCUUCCGAACUGUAGGCAAAAAUGGCGACUUCUGUUUUAUAGUUAUCAAGCCAUGUUAUGGAGUAAUAAAUCUACUUUGUUUGGUUCCAUGACCGCAUCAUAUGGGAACAAGGAGAGGGUGGUAACAUCUGUACUCUGAUCCAGUAGAACUGAAGAUUUUAUGUAAUCAUAGCCUUUAUACUAAUGUAGUCCUGGAUUGAAAAGAAAAGGAAAAGACCAGAGCAGAUGAAAAGCUUCCGCCUCAGUGACAUGUCUACAAGUGUAUCAUCUACACAUACAUUUAUGGAAAAGCUCCAGGACAGGUAUAAAUCAAAGCCUCAACUCUCUCAGUCUUCUGCCUCUCGCCGAGCGCACUUGCCGUCAGCAUCAAGUUCUCUCUCCCUGAUGCUUAAUUAACAUAUAUGUAUUUUAUGUCAUUCAGUCUCUGAGGUCAGUGCAUAACUUUCUAGCCCAGAAUGUAAUCAAAUGAGUUUAAGGUUUAAGAAUGUAUCGCAAUUAUAUGUGAUUUUCUUCUUUCAUUGCCUUAACAGAUGGAGGAAAGUUUCUUUAAGUUCCACUUUGCCUGUCUUCAAGAGAAAAAAUUAAGUUAUUCCAUCUUUUAUUUCAAAUAAAAAAAUCAUGAUUCUUA